AUGAGUUGUUUUCACCUCGCAAAGAAGACGUGCCGGAAUCUGACUUCUAUCUCUUCCCAAUUCUGGUGGGGUGCAACCAAUGGUGAAAGGAAAGUGCACUAGGUCUCAUGGGAAAAGAUGUGUGCCCCUAAGAGAGAGGGGGGUUUGGGUUUCUGGGACCCUGAAGCCUUCAAUCAGGCUCUCUUAGCCAAACAAGCUUGGCGUAUCCUGACCGUGCCGUCCUCUCUGGUUUCUCGGGUGCUCAAGGCAAGGUACUUCCGUGAUAGCUCUAUCCUAGCGGCUACGUGCCCGUCUAAUGCAUCAUAUACUUUUCGGAGUGUUCUACAUGGUAGAGACUUGCUGCGGGAGGGGCUGGUCUGGAGAAUAGGAGAUGGGUCUCGGGUGAAUAUCCACCACGAGAACUGGAUACCGCGGAAUGGAACUAUGAGGCCACUGGGUCAGGUGUUUCAUCAAGGGGUCACCAAGGUUGCGGCUCCAGGGGAUAGUAGGUUUGCAAAUGUUGCCGCUCAUAAGUUAGCAAGAGUAGCUGCAGAGGAGGGUUUAUGUAAUACUUGGUUUGGUGUCCCCCAGACUCUAUCUUAG
rnacentral:rRNA from 1 species